rnacentral:rRNA from 1 species
GAGUUUGAUCAUGGCUCAGGAUGAACGCUAGCGGCAGGCUUAAUACAUGCAAGUCGUGGGGCAGCACAGUGUAGCAAUACAUGGGUGGCGACCGGCAAACGGGUGCGGAACACGUACGCAACCUUCCUUCAGGCGGGGAAUAGCCCAGAGAAAUUUGGAUUAAUACCCCAUAAGAUUUUGAGAUGGCAUCAUCUUAUUAUUAAAGAUUUAUCACCUGAAGAUGGGCGUGUCGGCUGAUUAGGUAGUUGGCGGGGUAACGGCCCACCAAGCCUACGAUCAGUAGCUGAUGUGAGAGCAUGAUCAGCCACACGGGCACUCGAGACACGGGCCCGACUCCUACGGGAGGCAGCAGUAAGGAAUAUUGGUCAAUGGACGCAAGUCUGAACCAGCCAUGCCGCGUGGAGGAUGAAGGUCCUCUGGAUUGUAAACUUC